rnacentral:lncRNA from 1 species
CAUCAUGAGGCUCAUUGGCCCCAUAUCCACACUGAUGACCAUAUUGGAAACAGCUCAACCAGGUCUUCUAAUGAUCCUACUUGGCUAGUUGUCCACGUCAGGAUUAUUUCGGAACUGUCUACAUGGUAAUAUGAAGUUUGAAAUGAGAUAAUCUCUAGAUUAAUUUUUAAAAAGCCUGUUUGUGUUGACACACACCAAAAUGGUUGGUCUACAAUUAGUGGUAUGUCAGAUGAAUUCAGAAAAGGGGGGAAAUACUAAUUGUUUAUUUUCACAGUUUCUGUAUGUAAAAACAAAAAUUGCUUUAAAUUUUUACACCAAACCAGAAACCUAGAAACUCAUGGAAAUUGAAAUCUAUACCUUUAUCUUACAUUGAUACCAGUUUGUUCAUCCGUGGUUGGAUGGCUUAAAAGAGGGUCCUGAUAUAUGAGAG